ACGAACGCUGGCGGCAGGCUUAACCCCUGCAAGUCGCACGCACCUUUCGGGGUGAGUGGCAGACGGGUGAGUAACGCGUGGGAAUCUACCCUUCUCUACGGGAUAGCUCCGGGAAACUGGAAUUAAUACCGUAUACGUCCUGAGGGAGAAAGAUUUAUCGGGGAAGGAUGAGCCCGCGUUGGAUUAGCUAGUUGGUGGGGUAAAGGCCUACCAAGGCGACGAUCCAUAGCUGGUCUAAGAGGAUGAUCAGCCACAUUGGGACUGAGACACGGCCCAAACUCCUACGGGAGGCAGCAGUGGGGAAUAUUGGACAAUGGGCGCAAGCCUGAUCCAGCCAUGCCGCGUGAGUGAUGAAGGCCCUAGGGUUGUAAAGCUCUUUCAGUGGGGACGAUAAUGACGGUACCCACAGAAGAAGCCCCGGCUAACUUCGUG
rnacentral:rRNA from 1 species